UUUAUGCACUUUUAUUUAAAAUUAUUAAAUAAUUUCUUUUGGAAAUCUAUUUUCAUGUUAUUGUAUUAUUUUACAAUAUUUAAGUACUAGAUAAAAAUGAAGAAAAAAGUAUGAAAUGGACUAAUGAGUAAGACUACUCCAUAAAUCGAGUAACCCUAGUCAUUAAUCCAUUUUGAAGUUAAAAAUAGAGUGGGGUUGGAGCAUAUUUUACUCCAAAAUAAUGUUUGGAGUAGAAAAUGAAGUAGUGCUGGAGAUACCCUUAGACAAUGAUUAUCGGGGGGAUUUUAGAUGGAGUUUUUAGUUUAUUUAGGAAUUAAAGAAAAAGAAAAAUGGUAAUUACCAUAAGCAACAUAUCUUAAAUAGGUAACACAAGAGCCGCCUCUUAUAUGACACGCGUCGCUUUAUUACUCUUCUCCCCUAUUUUCUCUGUUUCGUUUCUUUUGCCUUUUCUCGAGAAAAUUCCAGAGAGAAAAUAUUGUGAUUACAAAUCUGAUCAUGGAGAUGGAGUCAUCAAAGGUUCAAGAAGAUACAGACCAGAAAACUGAUCCGUGAGUACUAAUCCAGCGAUGACCUUCGACGAGGUUCCAUGGAACGCAGCAAGAGCUUCGUCAAGGCCUUGCAUGUUUCCUUUUCUUUAAUCUCUCUCUAUCUUCGCUGCAUAUUCUUUUGCUUCUGUUUGAUUAGAUUCUUUUUAAAAAAAUAAAAAUCUAUGAACAUGAUUUGUCUGAGUCAGAUCCAUGAUCUCCUUGUAUGCUCUCAAGGCUUUGUGAUCCAAUGAUCUCUAAUAGCUUUGUAAUUUGUUCCAACAAUUGGUUGUUGUUUAAGAAUAUAUAUGCUCUGUUUUUUGUUAGGGUGUUGGACAAUUUAAAGGACUAUACUGUAAAGACUCUUGUUAAUUUUGUUGAUCACUUGGGUACCGUUGCUUCCAAGCUUACUGAUCUCUUUGAUCAGCAGAGUUCUGACAUUUCAACUAUGGAGAUGAGGGCUUCUUGUGUUAGUCAGCAACUCCUUACUUGCCGGACUUUGUUAGUCCUCUCAGACGAUCUGAAUCAAGACAGAAUCAUUGCAAUGCGCCAGAAGGUUGUUCCAGAGCAUCCAGAGACACAUUUACUUGAAGGAACCAAUGGACAAGGUCACCUCCGCUGCCAUUCCUCUUGCCUUGGCUGCAUCUUCUCUCUACAUGAUUGUAAGUUUGUAUCUGUUCCAUUUUCUUGUUUUUUUUUUCAGAAUUGUGUAUUCAUGUUUUUCCAUGUUUUCUUAGAAUAUGUUAUGUUCUUCACUGAAUAGUUUUGAUUAAAGUUUAUAUCUGUUGUCAUUCCUCUUGCCUUGAUUGCUGUUACUAAGUUCUUUAAUAACCUGUUAGGCUGGUACUGAACUUCUUAGGAUCUUGCUUCCUUUCACUCAACAACACUAUUGUUCUGAGUUAGGUCUCAAAUUGCAGGUCAAUUGCUCCCUGUGUUUUGCAUAUCUAUAAACAUCUAUAUGCUUGUAUCCAAUCUUCAUGAACCAUAUACAUGUUUGAGCAAUGUUUAAUUUUUUUUUAAGAACCUCUAAGUAAGAGACUCCCAUUGGAGCACAAAAUCAAAGUAUUUCUUAGCUAAGGUUCUUAAUUACAUUUAAUUAAUAAAAUAAUCACUAAGAGACCCUAAGUGAGAUUGUGGGUUAAUCAUGCUCUUACGUAGUUUUUGUUUAUGUAAAUGCACUUCUGUGUAAGCAUCUUUAUCCUUGCAACUCAUUAUGGGUUGCUUAGUAAUAUUUUAGUAGUAUUUAAGAAGUAAAUUAUGCUAAGAGACUUGGGUAAGCAACUUCCUUAUUUUGCUCCUCCAUUGCAAGUCUCUUAUAUUUGGUUGCUUAAUUUUUUUUAACAAUUUUUAUUAAAAUUUAAAUUUUUUUAUUACAUAAAACAUAAUAAAAGAUAACAUUUUAAACAUAGAUUUUUUUAAAAAAAACUUGAAAACAACAGUUUAGUAAAAUAAACGAUAAUUAUUUGAAAGAAGCAUCCGAACUUAGUUGUUGUCAUCACCAUCCCCAAAUUGACGCCAUAUAUGCUCAACCAAAUCAUGUUUCAGUUGUUGAUGCAUUGGUUUAUCACGAAUUCUUGCUCGAGCAUCCAUCGUAUUUGCCACCCCAUUUAUGUUAUCUCGAUCAAAAUCGCUCUCGACAUGUGAACUUCCAUUUUCUUCUCCUUGGAUGAACUCUGCAAGAUUAUAUUGAGUGUAUCCAUUUCGUUCGUCUUCUACUAUCAUAUUAUGGAGUAUGAUACAUGCUCUCAUAAUCUUCCCGAUUUUAGCUUUAUCCCAGAACAGCGCUGGAUUUUUAACAAUGGCAAAGCGAGCUUGCAGGACUCCAAAAGCACGCUCGACAUCUUUUCGGACAUGUUCUUGAUGUUGAGCAAAUAAAACUGCUUUUGGCACUUGUGGUAAACGAAUAGAUUGGAUAAAAGUAGCCCAUUUCGAAUAGAUACCAUAGGUGAGAUAGUAAGCCAUAUCAUACUGUCUUCCAUUAACAGAGAAAGUGACUUUCGGAGCAUGACCUUGAAUUAUGUCAUCAAAAACAGGUGAUCGAUCAAGCACAUUGAUAUCAUUUAACGUACCUGGAGGUCCAAAAAAUGCAUGUCAUAUCCAGAGAUCGUAUGAAGCAACCGCUUCUAAAACGAUUGUUGGUUUAUCCUAACCACGAGAAUAUUGCCCUUUCCAAGCGGUCGGACAAUUCUUCCACUCCCAAUGCAUACAAUCGAUGCUUCCUAUCAUCCCGGGAAAACUUCGAUACUCUCCAACAGCAAGUAGACGUUGAAGAUCAGCCGGUAUUGGUCUUCUUAAGUCCUCAUCGCCGAACAAAUUUAUUAUGCCUUCCAUAAAUUUUUCUACACAUAACCGAGUUGUUGUUUCACCGAGUCGGAGGUAUUCGUCAACCAUAUCACCCGCAGAACCAUAUGCUCAACAAAAUUUGCUGCCUCUGCGUAUGGAGUAAAAUCCAUAUCAGGAAAUGGCAAGGGAGAGAAGAAGAAAAUUGAAAAGCUGGAAAGAAAGAGAAGAAGGAAUGCAGAGAACGAAGCUGAAUAGAAAGAGAAGAAGGAAUGCAGAGAAAAGUAAGAGGAGAACAAAUUUAAAUUCAAACAUUCAUCACACAACCAACCAAUGCAUUCAUCACACCCAACAACCUAAACGACUUGACAUUUUUCUAACUCAUUCAACACACUUCACCUUCAAUUUUCUAUCUAACCAUCAGUUCUAUUAAAUUCCAUACACAACCAUAACAAUACACUAACCAAAGCAUUGAUUACCCUCGAUUCAAUUCCUAACAGAAGCUAAUUCAAUGCUUUUCAUUUCAUUACACUAACCAAAGCAUUAACACUAACCUGAGAAGCAAUUGAAGUCCUUUGUUCGAUGAACCUUCCUCAAGUCUCUUUCUACAGAACAUGACGACAGAGAUUUGAUCACUCCAUCUCACCACACAAAGACAAAAACAAAAAGAAAAGAAUCAACAGAAAGCAAACAAAUCAAAAUUCUUAAAGUUAGCAACAAACAAAUCCCAAUUGUUCAACAAAAAUUCUUAACAAGAAUUAAAGUGGAAACAAAUAAAAGAGGAAACUUUACCUGAUCGAUACGAGGAGACCCACCAACAGAGAGCUUCUCCGUCGCCGUUGUGAGAGACGGAAUCGAACUAACAAACACACAAAACUUUCGAUCAGAACGAGAAUAACCCUAAUCUAAGACAUGCAUGAUAUAAAAGAACACAAUAUCAUCUUUACCUUUAGAUUCCCGGAGAGCCACAGAGAGAUAGCGGGUCCUCGCCGUCGACGAGACCCACGGAGAGGGAGAGAAUCAGCGUUCAUGCCGUCGACGAGAGACACCGAGAGAGAGCGGUCCAUCGCCGUCGCCGUCGAGGAGGCACAGAGAGAAACCGAAUCGCCUUCGGUCGAGAGGUUUCGAGAGAUAGAUUGAGAAAGAACCGUGAGAUGAGACGAAAUCGACGACCCCUCUCUCCUCUCUCAUCUCUCGUCCCAACACGUGUCCAAGAGCGUAGUUGCUUGAGUGGGUUUAAUUAGGCAACGUUGUUAUUGUUAAUUUGGGUUUUUUAUUUUCUUUUAAUCCAAUAUUAGCCUAAGCAACCUACUAACAACCAUAGAUAAAGAUGCUCUAAGUAAGAGACUCCCAUUUGAGCACCGGGAAAAAAAACUUAUAUCUGCAGAAUUACUUGCACAACUAAACACAGUUCC